UAGGACCAUUUCUGACUCACACAUUUUGUCAAAAGGCAUAAGUUGUUGGGAGUGGUAGCUGACUUCAUCAGAUGUCCCUCUAUGCAUAAAAGAUGCCUCAUAUCCUCAAGUCUGCUUGGGUAUGAAUCCAAGAGCACAUAGAGUCCCCAGGCAGGGAGAAUAUUGUUGUGAAAAAGGAAUGAAAGAAGAAUUCAAAAACCAGAGAUCACAUUGAAAUCCAUAAAGAUGCAGAUGCUGAAAUCACUGCCACCAGAAUGGAUGAUUCAGGAGAAAAUAACAUCAACUGCAGAGGUUUUCUAUUUCUCAUUUCUUAACAUCAUUUCAAAGUCCAUCUUAGAGCUUUGUGUCAAACUCACAGGAUGUUGACUCCAAGCUGUGAUGAUCCUUGGAUUGUUACUCCUGCCAGCCUUAUAUUUAAGUUGCUGAACAGUCACACCACUAAGGAUUGGCUUCCUAUGAAGCAAAAUAUAAUACUUGCUUGAACUGCUUGUUCAGUUUCAAAAUAUGUCAUAUUCUAGUCAAAACAGGGCUCAGUAGGGCUUGCUUCCAAAUAAACAUGAAUAUGUUUUAGCUACAAAA